CACGUAGGGCGCAGGCGUUGUCCGGAAUUAUUGGGCGUAAAGAGCUCGUAGGCGGUCUGUUGCGUCUGCUGUGAAAACCCGGGGCUUAACCCCUGGCUUGCAGUGGAUACGGACAGACUAGAGGUAGGUAGGGGAGAAUGGAAUUCCCGGUGUAGCGGUGAAAUGCGCAGAUAUCGGGAGGAACACCGGUGGCGAAGGCGGUUCUCUGGGCCUUACCUGACGCUGAGGAGCGAAAGCGUGGGGAGCGAACAGG
rnacentral:rRNA from 1 species